rnacentral:rRNA from 1 species
AGGACGAACGCUGGCGGCGUGCCUAACACAUGCAAGUCGAGCGGAAAGGCCUCCUUCGGGAGGUACUCGAGCGGCGAACGGGUGAGUAACACGUGGGCAACCAACCCCUCACAUCGGGAUACCCCGGGGAAACUCGGAUCAAUACCGGAUAAUGCGCGACGCUGUUGGGCGUCGCACCAAAGGUAGCUUCGGCCUCUGGUGAGGGACGGGCCCGCGGCCCAUUAGCUUGUUGGUGGGUAACGGCCUACCAAGGCAACGAUCGGUAU